rnacentral:lncRNA from 1 species
AGUGAAGGUCUGGCGCUGUCUACGGCCCCCCAGGCCCCGGCUCCCGGGAGGCCGCGGCCCCCGCUCCCACCCUCCGCAACUUUCCCUCCGCUCGCGCCCGCCGCUCCUCCGGGACCCGGCCUGAGGCUCCCUCCCCCGGCGGCCGGCCCUGGGCCCGCGGCGCCUCCUCCUAAAAUGGCAGGUCCCUCCCUCCGCCCGGCCGGCCUCGGCUCCGGCCCGGCUGCGGGCCGCCGGGGGAGCCGAGCGCCAGGCCGGGCGGGGCCGCGGCCGGGCCGGACACUCACCGGGACGAUGGCGGGGCGCUCGCGCCGCUUCCUCCGGUGAGUCUCAGCCUCGGGCUCCCGCGCCGCGCUCCCGCCGCGGCCUCCGCAGCCAGCGCCGCCCCGGCAGCCUCUCUCCGCCCCCGGCGCUCCGGCUCCUGGCCGCGCCGCAGCCUGCUCAGUCUCUCCUCGGCUCGCGGUUCCAGCGGCGCCCGGGGCCGGGGAGGCGACAGCCCCCUCCCCGGCAAAUACCGCAGUCCCCGGGCCCCGAUUCCAGGCGGCGGGGCCGCACGGCCGGCCCGGCGCAGAGGGCGGCGUCGGCGAGGCCGGGCGCCGAGCGGCGGCUGCUGCCGGCGGCUUCUUCCCGAGGAGGAUUUUGUAAAUCUCACAAAAUGGCGCGCGCUCCGAACCUGCGCAGCGAGAAGCGCCGGGGCCCGGGCGGCGGCGGCGGCUCCUCCGCCAGGAGAGCCCGAACCGCCCGCCCCCGAGUCCCCGCACAGACAGACAGACACUCGCACACACCCGCACACUCGCGCGCACAAUCGCCCUCGCACACGCUCCCUCGCACACACACUCGCACUCACACCGGUCCCGCCUGCUCGCCGGCGGCGGCAGCGGCACCAACAGCAGCAGCAGGAACAGCAGCAGCAGAAGCGGCGGCGGCGGCGCCCGCACCCCCCGCUCGGGGUGUCCGCUCUCUGAGGCCGACCUGGGCCGCGAUCAGCAGCAGCGACAGCAGCAGUCUCCCCGGAUACCCCCGCCGCGGUUGCCGCCGCCACCCCCGCCUCACUCCAAUGGGGCUUUUUAUUAUUAUUCGGGCGGGAAGCGAAAGGGUUUAAAAAAAAACCAACCAACAAAAUGGCGACGGACCGACCCGGUCGCUAUAGCAACUGUCAAUCAAAACGCAAAACCCCGGCUGACGUGCUGACGUCCUCCUCCCGCCCCCCAGCCCCGAGCCGGCGGGCGGGGCCUGUUGCUCAGGUAACGGCAGAUUCCGUUCCCUCCUUUCCGUCUCCCCCUCUGUCCCCAGCCAACCACCCAACCCCCUCAGGUCACGUGAAGGAUAAAUUCGGAGCUCGGGUCCGCUACGAGUGUCAGAGGAGGGCGCGUGAUUCGCCCGGGGGAGGGGAGAGGAGGGGGACGGCUAGGCCGAGGGAGGGUAGGGGCUGGGGAAGGGGGGGCGAGGCGGCGGCCAGGCCUGUGCGCGAUCGCCCGCCGCCUCCCGGCCGCCCCGCCCCGCCCCGCGCCCGCGCCGACUGCGGCCCGGGGAGCGCGCGCGGCCUCCCGCGCCGCCGCCCCCGCAGCCCUAGCGCCCCGCGCUUCCGCGUCGGCGCCCGCAGCCCCGCCCGCGCCGGGGGGAGGGGCGGGCUGCCCCGGGCGGGGGAGGGGGAGGAGGAGGGGCGCCGCGGCCUUCGGGCGGGGACCCGGGAAGCCCACCCCGCGCGCCCGGGCCUGGAGGGCUCUCACCGCGGUCCGGGCGCCGCGCUCGCCUCUCUCCCCGGGAAGCGCGGCGGCCGCGACCGUCCGCGCGUGGAGCCGGUUCUUCGAAGGGCUGGCGGGCCUCCUAGCCGGAAAAUGCCGGCGGAGGCCGUGGUGGGGGCGGGGAGGAGCCACCGCCGCGCCCCAGACAUCGCAGGAAUUCCGGACGCUGCGCCGGGCCCGGCGGCCCUGAGGCUGGCACCUGGCUCCGGUCGGGCCGCCCAGGUUUUGUGGCGCCCGAGACCAGCGUUGGGAAAUUAGGCUGGAGCCAUCAUGAAAACUUUUUCAGGCAGUGCACGCUCGCCUGUGCCUGCCCAUCUGCUUCCAACCUCUCCCCACCUUUCGGGGCGCAGCCUGCCUGCUCCAUCGGAAUGCCCUUUAGAUGAAUCCCCUUGUGCUGUUACUGUGUCCUUGUCGUCCAGCUCUCUGGUUUUCUUUUCUAUACACCUUCUCGGUUUCCAGAGUCUUAAUUCGCCUGCUUGUCCUUAACCAUCAAAACUCUUUAUUAAUAUCCUGGCUUUCGCUGAUUUUUAUUCUCCCUACCCCUUCUCCCUAGCUAUGUAUUGCUGGGUGAGCUCCCGAGGCUUGAAAACCCAAGUAUGCUGUGCUGGCUGCGUUGUAAUCGGUAGAGAGCCACCAGCUAAAAAUUGUAUUUUGUACCAACUCUAAUGGCAUUUAAUAAAUGUAUACCUAAAAAGAGUGUGUGUGUAUAUAUAUACUAUUUUACAGCAGAGUCACUAAUUGAUUUCUAAGCUUGAUUUUGCCACCUUGUGAUAGUGUUCGUAACCAAUUUUUUUCAUAAAUUUCACAAAUGUGACAACAGAUAAAAUCUUAUAAACAAUAUUAGAUGUAAAAAACUCGCAGUAAAUGCCGCUGUCUAUGCUACAUGACUCAAAUACACCUGCUUUAAAUGAUUUCCAGCAAAAAUGUCCUUGCUACAGUUACUAGGACAUUGAUAUACUAAGGUAACCAUUCAGAUUAGCACAGACUUUGAAAGAAAUCCGACUAAACCGAAAAUAAAUUAGUCAAAAAGUAAUUACUAAGGUAACCAUUCAGAUUAGCACAGACUUGGAAGAAACCUGACUAAACCGAAAAUAAAUUGGUCAAAAAGUGGUCGGGCAAAUAGCUUGCUUUCAGGCUGAUCUCCAUGAUAUAAAAAAGUUGCCGUAGCUGGCAAAAGUUCUUUCGGAUUAUUGUUUCAAAAUUGCCCUGCUAGUGUGAUUAAGGUCCACGGUCAACUUAAUUGUUUUGAAGAAAGAGGAAGUGGCCCAGAGCGCCCCUUAUUCAGAGGAGAGGUCCCUACCUGGUUCCUCCCAAGCUCAAGCUUCCACCUAUACAACCAACUUCUUCCUCUCUGCUUGUGGGUCUCCUUCCUGCCCCCACCCCAUCCCACCCCAUUCACCAAGCUUUCGCUUCUAUCAGAGCACAUCAGCAUUUGCAACCUUUAAUACUAAAUUAAAUUUGACUCAAAUUUUUAUUCCUGGUAAUGGAAGAAACUUGUAUAGUUAAUCUUCCAGGUAACCUGAACAGAAUAUGAUAAUGUCUCAAGAUAUGUGUCCUUGUCUUCAGUUCAAAUCAACCUAGAAGAUAUCGGAGUGGGGCAGAAUCUUGAGAUUAUAAACAUGCGGGUAUAGAAGGCAUUGCUGGUCUUCGUAUCUAGAAGGCUGCACCCCUUUUCUCCCCAGUGUGACAGCCUUAGACAACAUUGGUCAAUGAAUGUCAUAUCCAGGUUGGAAUGCUGUAAAAUGGUUUUAUACAGGCUUCACCUAAAAACGUAACCUGUGAAUUACAGCUGGCUCCAAACAAGUGACCACAUGUAGGCCGGAAGGACUCUGGUAUAGAUGCCAGCUGACCUGGUUCACAGAUGAAAUCCUUGUCAUCUAAGAAUCUUCCCAUUAGAUUCACUUACAGAUGUGUUUAUUCAUAGACUGUUCACCUUGAAAAGCAAAGGCCCUCAGCUCAUAGGUAGUAACAGCCUCCACUUACCCAGCAUGUUCUAGAGUAUCUCUAAUCCUCACAGCAACAUUACAUCCCCAUUAUGUGGAUGAGAAAACAAGUCCUGAGUGAUUACAUGACUUUCUCAAGGCAGUCACCACUCACCAGUAAGUGGUGAAGCCAGGAUUCAAACACAGGUAUAAUUGCAAAGCCCAUGUUCUUUCUACCACACCAAGAUGAUUCAAGAUUAUAUGGAGUUAGAGUCUUCACAGAGGUAAUCGAGUUGGGUCUCUAGAUUGAACCCUAAUCCAAAAUGACUGCUGCCCUUAUAAAAAGGAGAAAUUUGGACCAAGACAAACGAACACAGGGAAGAACGUACAGACACCAGGAGAAGGUGGCCAUCUACAAACCAAGGCACACCUGAGGCUACCAGAAGCUGACAAAGAAGCAUGGAACAGAUUUUGUCUUACGGCCAUCAGAGGGAACCAACCCUGCCAACAUCUUGAUUUUGGACUUCUGGCCUCCAGAAAUUCAAGACAGUACAUUUCUGUUGUUUAAGCCACCUAGUUGUUUGUACUUUGUAGUGGCACUAAGGGAAACUAACACACAGAUGCGUGCCAAGAUGGUGGUUUCUUUUGGUUGGCUUCAUAUCCGUUAGUGACCACUCCUGGUGAGGCACUAUUCUAAGCCUGAAAGUCCAGUAGUUGGAAUCUCGCUGAGAGUUAUAACCCAAAUAAAUAUUCCAAGGACAAACAAGCAAACCAGUAUUCCUAUCAAUGCUCCUCACGCCAAGCGAGAAGGUGAACAAUUUGCAUUUGGUCCCUAGACAGUGGCAUGGCGUGGCAUCUGACACCCCUACUGUUCUUACAGACUUCUGGGUAAAAGUCUUCACUUGCUGCCCUUGUACAAACUUUAUUGUUCGUUCGUUCUUUCUUUUUUUUUUUUUUUGAGACAGAGUCUCGCUCUGUCACCCAGGCUGGAGUGCAGGGGUGUGAUCUCGGCUCACUGCAACCUCCACCUCCCCAGUUCAAGCGAUUCUCCUGCCUCAACCUCCUGAGUAUCUGGGAUUACAGGUGCCCGCCACCACACCUGGCAAAUUUUUGUAUUUUUAGUAGAGAAAAG